rnacentral:rRNA from 1 species
AUUGAACGCUGGCGGCAUGCCUUACACAUGCAAGUCGAACGGCAGCACGGGAGCAAUCCUGGUGGCGAGUGGCGAACGGGUGAGUAAUAUAUCGGAACGUGCCCGAUCGUGGGGGAUAACGUAGCGAAAGCUACGCUAAUACCGCAUACGAUCUACGGAUGAAAGCGGGGGAUCGCAAGACCUCGCGCGAUUGGAGCGGCCGAUAUCAGAUUAGGUAGUUGGUGAGGUAAAGGCUCACCAAGCCGACGAUCUGUAGCUGGUCUGAGAGGACGACCAGCCACACUGGGACUGAGACACGGCCCAGACUCCUACGGGAGGCAGCAGUGGGGAAUUUUGGACAAUGGGCGCAAGCCUGAUCCAGCAAUGCCGCGUGCAGGAUGAAGGCCU